UCCAAAAGUCACCCUGUCAGCUCAUCGUCACCACCCAGCUCCGCUUUCCCAAAGCCAGCGUCACUAAUGCACUCCCAAAAGAGAUCCCAAGAUGGCAGAGAGGAGAAGUGGGGCCAGAGAUGGUUUCAGGGAGGGUCCGCGGGCGGCACAGAUGUCAGCAGUGGGGGGAGCAGAGCGGCCCUCUCGCAUGUUCUGGGAACAGGCCUGAGCGCCCCUGGUGAGUGAGCCAAAGGGUUGACGGUAAGUCUCCUCUGCCUUCCCAAUCCCAGUGAGAUUUGCUGGCAAGCCAACCUUCAUCAAACGCUUGAGCUCGGACAGUCUAGAUGGAGGAAAACUCCGAAGGAUAAGGAGCUUACUGCGCAAGGAGAGCUCUACGUCCAGUCUGCUGCCAGCCAUCCCUGGAGUGCCUGAAGAACAAAAGCAGCCGCUGACCUGCCAGCUGCAGGGCCAGGCAGAAACAGACAGCCAAGAAGACCUGGGCCGAGCCCCGGGAACCAAACACGUGAGCUUCCGUGAGGAAGAAC
rnacentral:lncRNA from 1 species